UACGGAGGGGGCUAGCGUUGUUCGGAAUUACUGGGCGUAAAGCGCACGUAGGCGGCUUUGCAAGUUAGAGGUGAAAGCCCGGGGCUCAACUCCGGAAUUGCCUUUAAAACUGCAUCGCUAGAAUUGUGGAGAGGUAAGUGGAAUUCCGAGUGUAGAGGUGAAAUUCGUAGAUAUUCGGAAGAACACCAGUGGCGAAGGCAGCGAAUUGGCGCUAUAUUGACGCUCAGGCACGAAAGCAUGGGGAUCAAACAGG
rnacentral:rRNA from 1 species